AGAAGAUCUGAUGACUGACGGAUAAUGUGGAGUACCACAGGGGAAUCAGAUACUUGGUAAGAGCCGACCGUCUGGGCAGCAUUU
rnacentral:ncRNA from 18 species